rnacentral:misc_RNA from 1 species
GAGUUGUGAGUUUUUCCUGAACGCACACUUCAUUCGAGCGCCAAAUUUUGCCGACCUGUUAUUUAUUUACGUUUUACUUUUGUGCUUUGGUGUUUUAAUUAUAAUUAUUUUUGCAAUUAUCUGUUUUAAUAAAACUAAUGGAUUUUGAACUAUUUAAUUUCGAUGAAGAUGAUGAUUUAUUAAGUACCGCUUGUAUAGAAGCAACACAAGGUCAACUAACGGCACCACAGCAAACACAGCCAUUUGAUGGUGUAGUUGAAGAAACUGUCUUACCUGAAUUACAAUGUAGUGGUGAGGAUACUACCCAUGCUAAGUUCGCUAGUGAAGGAUUUGUGAGAAGUGGCUUUAUGCUGACACGCCCUGAGUAUGCUUGGCGUGAUGCAAGCGCAGGAUUAACGCUUACAGAAUUUGAAUUUGGCUUAAAACAGUUGCUUGGACACAAUAAUGUGCAAUAUCUUAUCGGCACAUCAUGUAUGCACAUUCAACAUCUAUGGGCUAGUGUACGGCAACCGCUUAACACAAAUGACACAUAUAACCACCGUCAACGUAGGAAAGAAGUAACACAUAUGUUUUAUUGGAUGCUCCUCCACAUAACCGACGAACAGUGGACGUUUCUGCGUCCUAGUUUAGAAAGCAUUCGUCAUUUAGUUAAUCGCACAACUGAAGCAGAUACCUGGAAGUUAAUAUAUUUCGCCAGUAGUUGUAAAGGCAAUGAUUGCAAUGCUGCCGCCUACCACUUGUUGCACGGUGUGCUUGAGUGGAAACUAUUGGAUUUGUGUAUACUUUACAAAUUCGAAUUGUGUGCUCCUAAAGUACUAUUGGAUGACAAUGCAAAGCCUAGCAGCGCCUUCAUAAACCAAUUGACACUACUCUUCGAGGAUUUAAUAACCUGCUCAUUGUAUUUGUAUGGAAAAAAACGACCGGCUGAGCUGUUAUAUGCUUCGCCUUUUCCGUGUACAUGUAUAAAGGAAUGUUGGUUGUAUGUGCAACUCGCCUUACAGAAGUGGUCAUUGACUACCUUUGCUGUGGCCACUGAACAACUUACCUUCUGGCAACUAUUUAACGAGACGAUAACGAAAUUUAAAAGCAAAUUGGAUAAGUUUUCUUUAACAACCUUAUCUUUGGCUGAAUUCACAAACUGGCUGCUACAUGCGCUAGUGCGACUUUUUGGCUAUCGUUCCAAUGGACAAUAUGUCGGGCCAAGGUAUGAGCGCGCUUUGGCAGAUACAGCGGAGAAUGUGGAUGCGCUUGAGCAGUGCACACAACAGUUUCUCAACGGUAAUCCCAGCGAAGAGCAGACGCGCGUAUAUAUUUGCCUACUUAUGCCUACAUUGUUGAAUUGGUGGCGUCCACGCGUCGCCAUACCAGUUUUACUGUGGGAACAUUUCCACAAACGUCUGAAUACUUCCUUCUACGCUGCCGGUUCAGCACCAAGUAAUUUGGCGGUCGCUUGUGCCAGCGGCAAGGCAUAUGUGGAACGUUAUCGCGCAUUACUUAAACAAGAAGAACUUACCGCUGAUGCUAAUUUGAGUAGUUACACACUGUUUACCAUUUUGUUAGGCAAAAAUCUAAUGCGUCUAUUAGAAAGCUCAGCGACUCGUCAUCAAGCGCAAAAAUUGCUCGGUCGUAUUUACACUAAAUUCAGUGCGCAAAAGUUUCUCGCGCUGAAUGAGAUGGGCAUACAUCAUCUUAUAGAAUUAUUUCUGGCGCUAGCAAUUUGCGGCGAUUUCGAAGAACUUGCACCGAAGCUGAGCGCGAAAUUACUGUCGAUUGCUUUGGAUAAAAUACCAGCUGGACGCCAAAUUGCAGUUGCCAAAGGUCAUAUGGCGCUAUUGAUACUCUACGCUGAGCGACGCUGUGAAAUCGGCGAGUAUGCGACGAAGCUGCUGCAGCAGCUCACUGCAAUCAAUAACGAUUUGAGCGUUUCAAAAGUGUUGGCGGAUGGUUUAUUGGAAAUUUUCAUGCACGCUGAUGAUUUUCGUCGAGGCGAACACUUGCUGAUAGACGCGUGGCUGCCGAAUUAUCUAGAGACCUGCACGCCCGUAGAACAAGAUCGCAGUUUGGAGGCGCUACAUCUGAUAUUCGGCAAAUUACAGCGCAACGAAGCGCUGAUCGAGUCGAACUCAGAGCUCUUAAAAGCGCUCAAUGCGCUCGUACUACCGUUUGUUAAGCAACAAUUCGCCUACGGCUACAGUCAAUGGCUGCCACAGCUCGCCGCGGACUUCUCUACGCAAGCCUGCACUGUGCCGGAUACACAGACGUUUCAGAAACUAUUCAAUUGCUUCAUUGAAGCGCCGGUUGCAUGUCGCCAGGCGUUGCCGCAAUACCUAAAUAAAGUGCUACAAACCGAGCGCGCCGCGUUAAUCGAGCCGAAUGUGGUCAUACAUGUGUGGCUGAAAAGUUUAGUGCAGUUGACCGCUGUCAACGAGGAUGUGGCACAAUUGACUCGUUAUGUGUCGCAGUUAGCCGAAUUUCGAAUGAUGACCGAUAAUUUGAGCCCCGAAGAGCUGCUGCAAGCAAAAGAACCACUCUGCGUCUUCAUAGCCGCUGUUGGCAAACAUUACGACGCAUGCGCUGCACACCAUCAGCGGCGUUUUCGCAUUGCAGACAAUUUGAAUGCGUAUUUGCGUAAUUUCGACAAAUGGCUGCAAGUCGAUCUAAAGCAGGAGAAGACCGAAGUAGCCUUUCGAUUCUACAGUUUCCUGGCCAUAGUUAUAUACAAUUGUGCGCAUAUCGUCUACACCAAGUCCAAGGUGAACUGUUUCUUCCACGUGGUCAUGACGCGCUUCGUGCUGCCCACCAAUGUGCAGAUGGGCAAAGCGCCGGAUGGCAAAUUGGCGCAAGUCGUGCACAAAAUUUGGCCUGUGCUUGUGCAGGGCAUUGGCAAGCUCAAUUUCAAAGCCGAUCCGUAUAUAAGUAAAACGCUCACCGACCUCAUACAGAAGUGGACGCCACAUUUCAAAAUUUCACCGAACGCGAAAAUGGUUGCACGCCCCUUUGUCAGCUGUCUGCAAAGCGACAACGCUGAAUUGUCUUUGUUUGUCUUCGAGAAGCUCACCAGCCUGUUCUUGGCCACACAGCGUCGUCAAGCAGAUCCAAAUGCCUGCUUGGUGGUGACUAUUUUCCAAGAAGUGAUCGAAUCUAUAGACGCCAAUAACACCAGCGACGACAUACUAACAAAGCGUUUGGAAACCUUCAUGAAAGCCACUUCGCUGCUCAUGCUGGAACACAUUAUGAUGGUGGACGAAGUGGUGCCCAGUCGCGCGCUGUUGCUGGAUCUGUUUAAACGUAUUGUCAGCAGUGCGACAUAUAAGCGCGCAGCCGGUUUGCAACAAUUACUUGCCGAGCACUUGCGGCUACUUACCAAAAAGCAUCUCGCCUACUACACAUUCUUCUUUUUUGAGCUGUUGCAACGUUUGGCGCAAUUCACACCGGAUACGAUUCUGCAGAUUAUGGAUUUUUUGCUCGCCGAGAUGCGCGUUGUGGAGCAGAAGCGCGGAGCCGGCGAGGAUAAUCGCAUGAGAGGCUGCUUGCAAAAGCUACAACAGACUUUAAAAGGUGCCAGAUGAGGAGGGGCAUCAUACGAAGACUCACGAAGUACAAAAACCGAAGCGAAAGUAAAUAAAGGUUCGCGCAGAAUAUUUUAGCUGAAAAGAGCUCCUGAAAGCUAAGUAGCCGAUUCGAAAAAAAAUUCUAACGCAACUCGUUAUUAUGUUCUUAUGGGUAAUUAUUUUUAACCUAUAUUUUUAGCAGUUAUUGGUUACGUAUUUUUUAAGCAGAAUUAUCAGUAUUUUGACUAUACUAACAGUAGAACUAGUAAGUGCACGAUCAAUGUAAACCUUUUUAUUUUUUAUUUUAACCUUUCAUUGUAACUAUGUAAAAUUUUAAAUCAAGUCAAACAGUUUAUCCUGCCUGCACAUGUGCUUUCACCAAGGUUGAUGCCACAUACGUACACAUUUCCUCUCCUCCAAGAAGCCGUGUGGAUACGCAGCAAGUGCAUCGUUGGAACGCGCCUAGUUUUUGUCAUCUUGGGAGAGCGCCCGCGCCCAUUACUUUGCUAGCCUCGUAUAAAGGCAUCGAUCGGUUUGCAGUAACCUAUGCUUUCAGUGUUUGGACUUUGGAAGCCGGGGACACCAGUAAAAUGGCGAGAAGGAACCCCUAGAUUGACAAAAGCACAUCCCCUCUCACCGCCACCAGCGUCCUUUUGUCACGACACUGAAGAGAGGGGAAAGAGCUUCAUUUGAAGAACGCAUUACCGAGUGAGGGUUAUUUGCAACUGAAGCAUCGAAGUCUACAAUAAACAAAACCGCUACAACGCAACGCGGAAACCAAAGGAACGUCUUGGAUAAACCUCCAAUAAAUGCCGCUCUACGUACCACUAUGUUUACGGCUCUAUACGGCGUCAAUAAGCCAGUGAAGGGAAUGCCUCGUGAUACGUUGAUUGUCUCCUGAGAUGGAAACUCAGCCACGUUCAAAGGUCUGUCAACGCGUUCUUCAAAUGGAGCUUAAACCUUAUCAGUUUCUGCAAAUGUCUCUAUUUUGCUAUCUGGUGUGUAAAAGAAGUUGGGACGUCAUAAGAAGGUAUUCUUUUAGUGGAGGUGAGAGGGGCGACGUUUUGGAUAACUUCUAGAGGAUUCACUACGUCGUUUUACUGGUUCCCGAAGUACAAACGGGCGCAGCUUUGUUUACUAUAAUUCGAUCGAUGUCUGUAUACGUUGCAAGCUAGUCAAUGAAGGGGCGCUUUCCCAAAAUGACCCCAAGUGAAAGGGGAGGGAGUGACUAACGCGUUACAAAACAUUGUUUCAAGAGCGACACAUCGUCCACCCCCCCUGUUUGUUGGCAACAUAUAAAAGCUUCGGGGGGUCUGUGGUAACGGGUGACGCUCCAAUUGGAUAAGGGGAACUAGUGAUAUGCCGUGGAGAAAUCGCUACACCUCUCAAUAUGCGGCUUUCUUUGCUGGCCCACUCCUUUAUCAUCAGAACUUGUACUUCUAUCCAGAAGAUCUACGUCAGACAUUGAGAGGUAGGCUUAGUAGUCCACCAAAACGGACAAAGCGUUUCGUCAUUCAGUUUCUACACGGUGUUUCUUUUGUUCCCGCGAAUCAAAAAUGAGCUUCAUAAUUUAUUACAGGCUGAUCGUAGCUCUAUCUUGUCAGCAAGCCAAGCUCUUCAAGAGUACUGUAUUUUUCCUUUCAAACGAAGAAAAUGCCUCUAUUAUACUUUGUGAUGGAUUGCACAGUAGAUGAGAUGACUGCCACAGUGGCUAGUAGAAGAUACCUGGAUAGAAGAACCCCAGAUCCUACGAGAUGUGUUCAGAUGACAUAAGUGGACGUCAUUCAGUGGUAGUGAGAGGAGUAGCGCCUUGAAUUAGUUUUGGAAGUUUCAUCACGGCAUUUUACUAGCUUCCAUCUCAGAAGUUGGAGCAGCGUAGGUUACCACAGAUCGACCGAAGCCUCUAUAUGUUGCCAGUAUAUCAAGUUGAAGAUGUGGUGUUGUGGAUGUUGUGUGCGACUGAGUUGAAAUUACGAUACAAGGAGCAGCGCGUCGUCUAAAUGUUGCAAAUGCGAUCUCUGUAUCCUUACAUACUGCAGCAGAGAGAGUUGAGAAUCCUUUUGCUGAACCAUGUAUUGUGUGCAGAAAACGAAAGAGAAAUUUGCUCGCUGAGGGCUGGGAGGUAUAUACGAUUGCGGCAUCAAUCCGGAGUCCACUUCCAAACAUUAGUUAAAAAAAAUAACUUAAAGCUACGCGUACAUACUGUUCGUUACUAUUUUCAAAAAAAAAGUCUUUGAGAAAGUUAUUACAUACAAAUUUUAAAAUGUACAAGAAUAAAUUUUAACAUUGAAGCAGAGCUGGAAAUUAAUAAUUUUUACAAUUAAGCUUGCAUAUUCAUAUUUUUCAAAAUUUUCGUCACGUACAAAAUAUGUGCUGCUUUUACGUUUGUUUCUUUCAAUUAAUGUGUUUUUAAAUAUUUUGAAAAUAUUGCAAUUUUAAACUUCGAAUUUUCGAACAUAUCAAAGUGACGGUUAGUGAAAUAUUUUCAGUGAAAAUUAAAAAAAAAAUCGAAUUUUCGAACAUGUGACCUUUGGUUCGCGGUGUUUAUGAGUUAAAAUUUACAUUCAAAUGUGCAGGCAGUAUUAAUAACAUUUGUUACUUUAUGAAAUAAAAUAUUAAUUAAUUGUAGUUAGCAUUUAAUGCUUCAAUAAUUAAAAUUCAGGCCAAGUGAGUCUCCAUUUUUAUCAAUUAGUUUUAAGUUAUGGUGUAUAUUAAUAUUAUUUUUGUGGAACAUUUUUGUAAGUUCGAAUUUUCGAAAAUAGAAGAAGUGCUCACAUUGACUCACUAAUAUGUAUUAUUUCAAAAAUUAUUUCCUUUAAAUCAUUAGCUUAUGCAUUUUAUGUUGCUUUACAACAAAAAUAAAAAAAAACGUAACAUUUUACACAUUUUCACAUUUUUUUUGCUAACAGAAACUAAAACCUACGUCAUAUUUAUUCGAUGUUUGUAUGUAGAUAUUAUAUGCAUACUUGCUUGUAUGUCUAUGUAUUUAUAUUUAUAUUUUUAUAUUAUAUUAGUUAUGUAUGUAUAUUGUUAAAUAUAUAUUAUAUAUAUAAGCAAUAAUUGAUAUACAAAAUGUACUUCGACAUUUAAACGCUUGUGUGCAUUCUUAUAGAAUACACAAAUUUUGAAUCCCGCACAUUUAUAUAAUGAUUUCACAACAAAUUACAAUAAAAAAAUGUGGAAUAAAACGAAGCGCGGUUGCAAUUUCUUUCGAAAAGGAAUGUAUAGGGGUUUUCUUUUUGUUUUUUUGUCAAAAAUGAGUCCAUAUUUUUAGGAAUGUUGGGUUCAAAUUUUUUGUUGCAUUGUAAUACUUCUAAAAGCUAAUAAAAAAAAUUUGAAAUGUUAAAAAAUACUUGAUUUUGAGGAAGCGCACAUUAUCAGGUUUUUAAGCAUUUUCACUUUAGUUACA